GAUGAACGCUGGCGGCGUGCCUAAUACAUGCAAGUCGAACGCUGGAAAUCUAGCUUGCUAGAUUGAAGGAGUGGCGAACGGGUGAGUAAUACAUAAGCAACCUACCCACGAAGACUGGGAUAAUCUCUGGAAACGGGGACUAAUACCGGAUAGGUAAUCGGAAGGCAUCUUCUGAUUAUUAAAGGUUAAAAACACUGGUGGAUGGGCUUAUGGCGCAUUAGUUAGUUGGUGAGGUAACGGCCCACCAAGACGAUGAUGCGUAGCCGGCCUGAGAGGGUGAAAGGCCACAAUGGGACUGAGACACAGCCCAGACUCCGACGGGAGGCAGCAGUAGGGAAUUUUAGGCAAUGGGGGAAACCCUGACCGAGCAACGCCGCGUGAGUGAUGACGGCCUUCGGGUUGUAAAGCUCUGUUGUAAGGGAAGAACGGUAGAUAGAGAAUAUCUAAAUGACGGUACCUUACCAGAAAGCCACGGCUAACUACGUG
rnacentral:rRNA from 1 species